rnacentral:lncRNA from 1 species
GCAGAACAGGAAGCUGGGGGCCCUCGGGAGACUCCUUCCCCGGUCAGCGCUGUGCUGGGCUCACCCGCCCGGGCCCCGGGGUCACAGGAGUUCGGGGAGUCGGCUGGGCCUCAGGUCGGGGCGGAAGAUGCUCCCACACGCUGUUACCUUAAAUAGCGCUGCCAAAGCCACCUGUGUUCUCAGGAAAUGUCACCUGCACUCUUAGCCACCAGAGGUAAACACUUCAGCCAUCGAUUCUUACCCUGCCCUGAAAAAUCUGCUGCAGGUUUUAUGGGAUUAGCAGAGCUACAAAGUUAAGGCUGCCUGGUCCUGUCCUAGUGUCACUGCUGAUGUGAUAAGAACAGGGCAGGGCACAGCCAGGUGACAUCUAUAUGCCACUUGUAGUUUUCUGCUGGUAAAACAACAGACGGCUUCUCCUGGGACCUCAGCUUGCCAGAGCCUGGACAGGGCUCCACUCUCCCCGAGGACACGAUCUUUCCGUCCCCAUUUCACAGGGGAGGAAGUUGGAUUCAGAGAGGCUGGGGACCUGUCCCAGGCUCAAGUGGCCAGAACAGCGGGGGCCUGAACCCGGGUGGGAACCGAUCCCCCAGGGGUGGGGUGGUGGCCUCCCAUCCCCCUUUCCUUGGGGAUGGGUCCUGGCCUCGUUCUGGGGCUGCAGCAGGUGUUUUCAAGGUUUUUCAGAGCGAAGACCCUCAGAGAUGCCCGAGGUGGGGACAGAGACCAGUUGGAGCGGCCUCACCGUGAGCUUCACAUGCUCACUCACUCGCAGUCCCCCCGAGCGAGGCUCUGUGAUACUUCCCGUCAGUGGUGAAGGGGGCCCUGGGCCUCAGGGGACCCGGUGGCUCCUCGGGCUGUAGGUGGACGUGGGCCAGGCAAGGCCACGCAGCACCGCAGGCUGCCCAGGGGUUGAGGCGCGUUGAAGGAGCUCUGUGAGCUCGCACCGUCUUCCCAGAUGACAGAGCAGAGGCCCUGACCCGCCCCGUGCUACGCCAUCAGGGUUAGGCCAUGGCCUUACUGGGCACCCAGGGCAGGGCCUGAAGCCUGGGCUUGCCAAGAAACAUCCCCACUGUAGUGGACGGGGAGGAAACGGGGCCACAGCAGAGGGAGCCACCAUUCCCAUCAGGACCCCAGCUCACAGGGCCCACCCCAGGGCCAGUUGGAUCAGGGAGAAGAUGAGCCACACACUGGAGGAAGGGAGCAGGAGGCUGCAGCCUUGGGAGGCUGAGCUGGGCUGCAGGCGUGAGGACCUCGGAGUGCAGGUAGGAGUGCCAUCUGUCCAUCCUGGUGGGGUGUGAGAGGUGAGGGACCCGCUGGGUCCAUCCAAGUCCCCCCUCUCCACCCAUUAGUGGUCACUGGAGAUGCUUCCAGACCCCCGGCCCAACUGUUUCUCCAUUCUCAGUGCAGACAUGUGCCUUUUCUGUGGAUGCCUGCCCAGGGACAGGCAGGGAUGCACCAAGCCCAGGCUGGGUUCAAUGCUGCUGGGUUCAGUGCUGACCAAGAAGCAGAGCGGCCAGGUGUCUUCGGUGGGGAAAGGCUGCCCCCUGGUGUUGUCAAGGGGCACUGCACAUGAUGAGGACUUGGGAUGACUUACAGAGAUGACUAAGAGUGACCCAGCACUUUGAAAUCAUCUAUCUCCCUGUAGGGAUGAGGAAACCGAGGCCCAGGGUGCACCCAGGGCCCCGAUUCAGGUCAUUUCUUGGACAUGAGGUAGUGUUUGCAGGAGGAAAGUAAAGAGGAAAAUUUUCACCUGCUGAAUCCAGAGAAUGAGUGACCAUGAGCCAGCCCUUGAGUGAGCUCACACGGCAUUCAGAGCCCAGGGGUCACGUCUCCUCCCAGCAAUGCCUCCAGUGAUGUCACACUGGCAGCUGAAAUCAGUUAUGCCGGAAGCAUUACAGGUGGAAAGCAGUAAUGCAGCCAGGACCACCCCCUGGAGAUCUGGGUCUCACACAUCUGCCGGCACACCGCUGCCCAGGGACCGUCUUAGAUCCUUAGAGCUAGGGGCUGUUGGAAAACAUAUGACCUCAUGGAGCCUCCGUUUCUGCAUUUGUAACAUAGAAUGGACCCGCUCAACACGCAUCCUGUGCCAGGCGCCGUCUUAGGUACAGGAGACACCAUACGGCACCAACAAGGGAGAAGUUCCGCGUUGGUGGAGCUUGUAUUCUGGUAGGGAGACAAACGAGGGAACCAUGAUUCGUCAUGUCAUGUCACCUACAAAGGAGACAAAGCCAACCAGAAAGGGAAUGGUGGUGAGGAAGUGCGGGACGGGGAGGGGCCGAGGCCCUGAGCAGGAACCCGGAGGAGUGCAGGUGAGGGCCAUGGAGGGGGCCGCUCUGGAGGGGACUUGGCUCAGCAGAGGGAAGAGCAGGGCUCUGCGUAGAGCCGGCGGUUCCUAGUUAAGGCUGUGGACUGGGUGGAGAGGAGGUCCCGGGGCGGUGGAGGGGCGCUCGAGGCCCAGCAUUUCUGCCUCAAGUGUGGGGAGCCCCAGGGAGGCCGGUGGAGGGAGUGGUCAGGGCUGAGGCCACUCAGCAGGCUGUCCCUGAGCUCUCUAUCCCUGGGGGCUGGCGGUGGGUGAACAGCACACUGCCUGGGGGCUUCCUGGCCUUUCUAAGGGGGCUUUAGGCUGAAGGGGCACUGAUCCUCCUGUGCCUCUCCGUGGCGGGCAGCCCACCCCCAGCUGGGCACCAUUCCAGGAACCCUGGGCCACCAGUCCCCACCUGUGCCACGUCCCCCAUUUAUUAACAAGGACCCCAGCCUCAGGGAGACCUGGGCCUGCUGGGGACACAGCCAGCUGGUAGGACCUCCAUCCCCCAGGUCCCAGGCCAGUGGGGUGGCCCUACAGGCUGUGGCCCAGGGGGCCUGGCUCCCCACCCCACUGGGCCCCGGCUUCCUCCCCUCCCUCGCUGCUCCAGGGACUGGACUUUCCUCUGGACCCCUCUCACCAUCGUGUGGCCCUCCCUGGGGCCCUCCCUGGGGCCCUCCCAGCCUCCCCAGUUUCUAACAAGGACGAGGAAUUAGGAGACGCCCCAGGAGCCUGUGUCCCCCUGUUUGGCCUCUGGCACGGGCUGUACCUGGGCCUCCGUCCCCCAGACCUAAGGGGCUCUGCGUGUUGUUGUCAUGACGACGCCCGACAUUGCCGGCACCCUGCCUAGAGGUGACGGGUGUCAUCGCCACCCAGGACGGGCCACGAAAAGCCCAGGGUGCCGUGAAAACAGAAAUGCAGAAGCCCUUUUUAAAAUUUAAGGAUUAUUAAUGAAUUAUUGAAAAAUUUAAUAAGAAUUUCCAAAGUUGAGUAUUAAACCAGGCGCAGGCGUCCUUCCAAGCUCGACGCAGCGGGUGAGGCCCGUGCGUCUGCCCGAAGCUCAUUUCAAACAGAAGAACCAAGAAACGGGGCAGAGAGGGGAAGCCACGGCCCAGGUUCAUGCAGUCAGGAAGCCGAGGAGCUGGGUUCCACCCUGGGUCAGGCUCAUCUGAUGGUGAACUUCAUGUGUCAGCUGGGCACCCAGAAGCUGGUCACGCGUGACUCUGGGCGUGCCUGGGAGGAGCUCUUGAAGGAGAGGACAUUCACAUAGGGAGGCUUCGUAAAGCCGUGGGCCUCCCUCCCCCUUUGGGCCUCACCCGAUCAGUGGGGAAGAGGGUACAAGCUCUAUCCCCCCGGAGAGGGCCAGCCUCCCGUCCACCUGCUUUGGCGAUGGGACCUUGGCUUUUUCCUGCCUUUGGACUAGAGCUGAACCGUCUGCCCUUCAUGGGUCUCCCGUCGCCUGGACCGUGCCCCCCCUGGCUCACAGCCUUGAGGCCUGGACAGGAGCCGGGCCAUUGGCUUUCCUGGGCCCCAGCUCACAACCCUCCUGCACAUGCUGGACUUGUCACCCCAUAACUGUGUGAGCCAGUUCCUUAAAAUGAACCCCUCUCCCCGUCUCCUCUCCAUCUCUUAUUGCUCCGUUUCUCUGAUAAACUGUAACCCCCAUGAUACUGGAUGGGUUUAUCCAUCAAAUUAGCAAAACAACCAAACUGUCCCCUGUGCUCAGGGACCUUCGUGUUCACAACUACCCCUCAAAACCUCUCAAUGGCACCACCUCAUGUGGAGGAAAAGCUGAAGCCCACGACCCCAAGGCCCUGUGUGACCCCCAGAUCCUUUCUUGCCACCCUCAUGCUUGUCCACACUGCUCCACCCACGAAGGUCUCCUGGCUCCUCCCCAAGCAGGCCAGGCAGGUCCUGCCUCAGGCCCUUUGUAUGUGCUGUUCCCUCCACCUGGCUGCCCUUCCCCUACAUGUUGGUAUGGCUCCCUCCCUUUUCUAUAUCUGGACUCACAUGUCACCUCCUCCUUCAUGACUCCCCCACCCCCGUCUAAGGUGACCUCGUCCCUCAUCUCUCACCUUAUGGGCUUUGUUUGUUUCACUCUUAUCACUGCCCGAGAGGACUGAGCCUACUUUUCCUAAGUUUCAGGAAAACAGGGCUUUGGGUCUUUGGUUCACUGCUGUCUCUUGGACCUAGAACCAGGGAAACGUGGCAGAUCAUUAUCUGGCGAAUGAUUAAACAGUUGAGGAAAGACCUUGGUCAAACCUGAAGACACCACCUCCAGUGUGUGCUCUUCUGCGGGCAGCACCUGGGCACCCAAGAGGUGCCCGACGUGAUGGGAGUGGACAGGAUGCUGGGCGGGGACAGGGAGGUCCUGGAGGCCCCUCCCCAGGACUCCGUAGGGCCCCUGUGCUGCAGGGGAGGCUGCCUCCUCCCCUGGUCCCCGGGGACUCUGAGAAUGAGGACAGCCGAGCUCUGGGAGGAGCUGGCGGGGGCUAGCAGAGGGGGGAAGCAGAGGGACAGCUUAGAAAAAGCUGUGCCCCAGUCAGCUUUUCACUGCUGUGACCCAAAGACCCAACAAGAGCGAUUAGAGCAAGAAAAGUGUGUUUGGGGCUCAAGGUUUCAGAGGACUCAGUCCACAGAUGGCUGACCCCAUUCCCUGGGGCUCGAGAUGAGGCAGGACAUCACGGCAAAAGAGUGUGGCAGAGGAAAGUGGCCCAGGGCAUCACACCAGGGAGCAGAGAGAGCUCUGCUCAACAAACCCAGAGUCACCCCCCAGGGAGCCACCUUCCCCAGCCACACCCCUGCCUGCAGCUACCACCCGUAGAUCCCUCUCAGGAGACGGAUUCACUGAUGGGGUCAAAGUUCUCGUGACCCAGUUGUCUCCUCUAAGCCUUCUCCAACUGUCUCACACCUGAGCUUUUGGGGACACCUAGUAUCCAAACCCUAACACCCGGGAGGCUCUCGGGUCUUCCCAGGCACACCCGUUGCAGGUGUCUGGUGAAAGACACCCCCAGGGGCUCUGCUCCCCGGGCAGCUCUCCCCCCGCCAGGGGACCUCACCCUGUUCUCGAAAUUCAGGGCCAGUCCUGCUCAGCAGGUUAGCGGUCCUCCUCUGUGCUCCAGAGACCGGGUCCACGUCUGUCAGGCCCAGAAUGGCAACGAGAGGCCGUCCUGCGGUGCCCAGCUGUCCCUCCGUGGGCCGUGUGCCCCACACCUGGCUCCUGCCUGCGUGGUCAUGGAGCUUGGGCAUUGUGUGAGGGCACUCAGCCUGUGGCAGGCCCCGUUCGGGUCCUUGUUGGGUCUCUUCUCCCAGGUCACACUCCGAGGUUCCAGCUUCCCUCUCCAGCCGCCCGCCAGGUCCUCCAGGCCACAGGGAGCUGGGCCCCGAGAAGGGAAGGGCACCAGGCUGUGGGCGGCCAGGCUGGUCCACCUCAGGGCUGGCCCUGGCUGGGGCUUGAGCUCUUGCUCUCCUCCCGCCCACGAGAGUCCCGCGAGUUAGGAGUUUUCAAUGUUUUGUUUGAGAAGUCGGACAUUUUGUUCAGUAUAAAACUCACGGAGAGCCUCAUCUACCAAGCAGGCGGGACGGCUGACGGUGUGACUUGACUGGGGAAGGGAGGCUCAGCCAGGCAGCAAGGCGGGGUCCUGGUGUGCCUCGGAGUUUUCAGAAGAGGAAGCCUCUGAAUCAGUAGCCCCAGUCGAGAGGAAUCGCCCUCACCCUUGGGUGAGCCUGCGGCUCUGCACCUUCCUGUGGUUACUAUGGGCUGCUGUGCGUGAGAGCCCUCCUUCGCCACCUCCCGCGGGUUUAGGGUUGAGGUUGACACGAGCAACUCCAUUUAGAUUUUGUUAGCUUUUAAAUUUCUUUCACAGUAUGUAAAAAAAGAUUGAUUAUGGGAAUUGGCUUGAGAACCUGGGGGCGUGGGGGUUACUGUGGCAUGCGGUACCCCCAAUUCCCAUGAUUAUCAUCAUUAUUGUUUUUUUACAUAUUGUGAAAGAAAUUUAAAAGCUAACAAAAUCAAAAUGGAGUUGCUUGUGCCAACGUCAACCCUAAACCCGCGGGAGGUGGCAUAGGAGGGCUCUCAUGCACGGCUGCUUAAUAGUACCUACUAGGAAGGGGGCCAGAAUGAAGGAGCUUCUCCUCACCCAGAGCCACUCCUGCCUCAGACUUCUGCCACACUGUGGAUCACUGUGGCCAAGAAGUCCUGUUUAAAGGUCUGACGUCGUCCUCCUCCUGCUCUCUUCACCACUCCCCACCUCACCCUGGGCACUGUGGCAUGCGUGUCCCCAUGGCCGUGUCCUCUGUCCCAGGGAACAUCGUGUUCUGUGGAGGAUCUCGCUGGUGCUUUCUUCCCUGAGGGGGACGCUCUCUGCGUGUUUCCUGGGCCUUCUCUGGACAGCUGAGCCAAUGCCGGGGUGAUGCUGAACAGGGUCCCACAGUCCAUGUGAGCUGGGGGGCCGUGCCCUGCACCUUGUGCUUGGCUCUCCAAGAGCAGCUCAGUCCUCUCCGCCACCCCGCGGCAGCUGUAGUCUCCUGCUUGUCAGGAAAGCUGCCCAAGGGCACAGAGGCAGAGCCGCGGUCCCCUUGGACAGAGGGACCAGCUUGAAAUCAAGGGACAGGCCUUUUCACCUCCUCAGGGGACACCUUUUCCUAGUGGUCCUGCUGCUGCUGUGCCAUCUGUGCCUUGAGCUCACCAACGGCCGGCUCCCUCCCCCUCCCACCUGUCCUCUCAUCCCCACUGCGGGAGGUGGCAGCUGGGCUUGGGGAAGUCCUUCUCUCCUGGCCAGGGCUGGUCCACUGCUGCAGGUUGGAGGGCUCCGUGCUCGGCCCACCCAGGGGCAGGGUGAGGGCCAAGCUCAGGUGGGGCUUCCUCUGCGUCCUCAGGUGGGGAGUGGAGGGCAGGUCCCUACUGUGGACCUUCGGGGCACCUCUCUGAAAGGCAGAGGCAGCUGAGGUGCUGCUGGGCCCCUCUUGAAGCUCCGUCCCUCUGGGAUGACUGGCUGUGGUUUUGCUGCCACCCUGGGGUGAGGGACGGAGACACAAGCUCACAGUCCCAUGUGCAGUAGCACACACAGAGGCUUUCCAACACGGCGGAGUGUGGGGAGCGGUGGAAACGGGAGCCACAGCUACAUGUGUCAGCCAGGUCCACCCCGGGGACGAUGUCGACAGAGCAGCCCGGCCCUCGAAGGAAGCAUAUGGUUCACACUACGCACGACACUGCCCAUGAACAGAGUCUAAGCCACACGGAGCAAUAUUAAAUGUCACUUACGCUGCAAAGAUGUACAGGACUAAGCAGCACAUGGUUGAGUUUGGAAGAGGUCGCUGGCGGCGUGCAAGGUGGGAAGGAGGCUGGGGUGGGGACACGGGUGGCCUUCACACAAGUGCGAUGGGUCAUUCUUAAGCUGCAUGACUUAUAAGUACUUUUUGCACCUGUUUGUAAACCUUUAGUGUCUUAAAUAACACAUGACAGUUUUUAAGAAGGGAAGGAAGGAAGGGAGCGGAAGGGAAGCAGAGGGACAGCUUAGGAACGGAAAUGGAGCCACUUUCUGUUGAAUUGCUGACCCAAGGGAGGGAGUGUCCUCCGCAGCAAGUGGGGGCAUCCCCGUGUCCACACCUUGGGGGCAAUGUCCCCUCCACCGGGGCAUUUGCAAAUCAACUCCCACAGUGAGCGCGGUGCUUACCCACAGCAGGCACGGGCCUGUCCCUACAGGGUGACGAAGUACCCCUCAGGACAGGGCCGCCGGACCUUUCUGAGUUCCAGAAGCUGAACCCUAGGUCCCUCUCUCUUUUUCCCCCUCGGUCAUCUUGCGAAGUUCACACCGGGCUUCUCCCGGCUGCUGAGACUCAGACGGGCUGCAUGUUUUGGCCAUCGGCCACUGUUUACCUGGGCCCGCGUCAUUUACUCUGACUGUGUGAGAAAGGAUUUUACUGUCAAACGCCGAUACCUGAAUUCUAUCAAUUUCCCCGUUUUAUUUCCGCGCCACCCACGUCCCCUGGGCUGGAGCACCUGGGAGGGAGCCUGCACCGCCGCAGCCCCCCUCCCUGGCCGGUGCUGCUCCCAGCUGCCCGCCGAGAACAAGCUGCUCGAUCCGUGUCCAGGGGUGUCCUCCAGCAGGUGGUGUGAGCCGUGAAAUCAGUCACACAAAUGACCCACCACAUAUAAAAAAGCCACCGUUGCAUCAACAGGCCUUUAAACCAAGCAGCAGUUAAAAUAACUACUAGCUCAGUGGCCGAGGAGCAGGGGGCGGCCCAGCCCAGGGCCCCAGGAGGAGGCGAGGCCGGCCCUCGGCUCCUGAUUUAUGCUCCCACUUCCUUCUCUAUUCAAGGCAGGGAACAUUCCGAGCAGCAGAUGAGCUAAGGCGUGAAAAAAGAUCUCCAUAACACGCUGAAAGGCAGGGUGCCCAGCUAUGGGGGGAGGGUAUUUAUGUCCCUAAAGAGACCAUUCCAGUGACACCUGGUUCAUGUGUCUUCCUGGGCAUGGAAGGCGGGAGGCGGAGCAGGAUGCGCCUGCCUCGCUGUCUCUGGCACAUGCGGGAGCAUCUGUCCUAUGCCCGUCAGAGGGCUCCUCGUCGUGUCUGCCCCCCCCCCAGUAAGAGAGACCCCUCCAGAGGCCGUCCGUAGGAAUCCCGCAGUGGCCUGAAGACCUGGACCAUGUCCCUGCUCUGCCUUCAAGUCAUUUGUCCCCCGAGCCUCCGUUUCCCGACAUGUGCAGUGGAGUCAGGGAUCUCGUCAUGAGACGGGGUCCUGUUCUGAAAACUGUCAAAGUGCCCAGGGAGCAGGGUGAUGGUCCCCCAGGAUUGAGCACUGGAUUCCUCCUGGGCCCUGCCUUCUCCUCUUGCCAACCUGAGGGCCUUUGGGGAGACCUGUGGGGGCUGGAAGCAGCAUCCCAGGGCCUCUGGUGGGGGCUAGACCACCAGUGCUCCUGGCCCAGUGAGGGCUUGGUUCUGGAGCCUUCUCAGCUGGCCUCAAGGGCUCUCUGGGGACAUUGCGGCAGCAGUGAGUGGAAUUGUGUUCCGUUCCAAGACUAGCUCAGGUCUCAAUCCCCACCUGUGACUAUGACCUUAUUUGAAAGUAGCGUCCUUGCAGGUGCAGUCAGGUUAAGACGGGGUUGUACUGGAGUAGGGUGGGCCUGGGGGGCCUAACCCAACGAGUGGCCUUAUAAGAGAAAGGACGAGUGACCUGGACACAGAGACACAGACCACGGGAAGGGAGGCGGAAACUGGAGGGACACAUCUGCAAGCCAGGGAAGCUGACGGAGUUAGGAGAGAAUGGAGCCAGGCUCCUGUCCAGGACCUCAGGGAGCAUGGCCCUGCCACCUGGAGUUUGGACUCCUAGCCUCCAGAAACAAGCUUCUGUGUUCCAAGCCACCCUGUUUGUGGCCCCCUGUCAUGGCAGCCCUGGGGGACUAAAGGAUGGCCUGAGCAGGAGUCAGACGUCCUGGACCUCAGGCUGGACUGCAGGCCCCCGAGCUGGGUCUGAGGGGAGAUGAGGCCUCCCCAGUAACCGGGGGGAGCCAGUAGCCAGCAGGAGAUCCCAUCCCCUGUGUGGGGCUGCAGAGAUGUGCCACAGCUCCAGAGCCCAGGCUCCCUAGGGACAUCCAGGGGACUCCAUGGUCACAUGAAGAGCCUGUCUGAGCUGACAGGUGGCCACAGUGAAGAGGGAGGCUCAUGAGUGGCCAGUGGGGAUGGGACACAAGAGAUAGGAUGAGGACUUGGGACAGGUGUGGACCUGCUGCCAGGUGGGAUGGGGGACCUAAUUUGCAGCCAGCCUGGUGGGACCUGGGCCUUGGUGGUGAGAGGUUGUCUUCUGAUAAGGACUUGAUUCACCAGCUGUUUGGUGUGUUAGCGUCCUGGGGACUCCAGCGUGGGUGUGCCGACCAAAUAAACCUGACCCAGGCCCCCUGCAUUAGGUACCAUGCCCAAGCACAUGUGUGUUUUACACACGGGGGAGGAGAGAACCGUGGGAUCUCUGUGGAACGUGCCCACAGGUCAGUAUACGUAGGUUCAGAUCUUGGAGAAGAUGGUCACAUGGCCCUGUGGAGGCUGCCCACCACUUACCCGAGUACCCAGGCCCUGGGGCCACAAUGUCACAGGCACUUGAAGGCCUCUUGCUUGUGAUACCCCCCAGGAGCAGGCUGUCCAAGGGGUGGACUCCUAGGAUCAGGCAGGAGAGUGCCAGGAAGCCCGCAGCUUUGCUGAUUUCUGAUCUCCCCUGAAGAGGAGCUGUAGGCCUCAGUGUGCCCACAAGGUGGCAUGUUACAGAGAGGACCUGAGGCCAGCACCUGAGAUCCCUGGCCCACAGGACCAGUUUCCUGGACCUGGUCUUUCUGCCCUGGCCCCUUCCCAGGAUUCCUGACUUGCAAACACCCCACCUGGAAGCCGUCCUGAGAAGGCUGAGCAGAGGCUGUGGACAGGUCCUCCCAGGAGGCCUCACAGUGCCUGAACUUCUGACUCUGGGGGCAGGGCAACCUCAGAUUGGCCUCAUCAGCACCCAAGUGAGCCCCAAGCUGCCAGAUCCCUACUCUGAGAAGCAGGCUCCAGGCCUCUCAGACUCUGGUGCUUGUGGGUGCCUGGGGAGCUGGCUUUGAUUUAGGGGUCUGGAAGGCACCCGAGUCACAAUGUGUCUAACAGACUCCAGGAAAAACUCACGCCACUGGUUGAGGAACAUGUCCCUCCCUGGAACUUGUGGGCCUCAGGGACCUCAGGUGGGAGUGACUGAUACUCCAGGCGAGACGGCUGCACUGGCCCAGGGGAGGGGGCUCUCCUCCCUCUCCUCUUCUAAUUUGCCCCUCCAGGACACAGGUGAAGGGUGCAGUAUAAAGUCAGCGCCUGGCAAUCACACCAACCCUUCCAGGGAGCCCUUCCAGGCAGCAAAGACCCAGAGAGCAACCCCCAAUAUCCCUCUGCUGCUGUGCUCCCCUCCCAUAGCCACGGCAAACCCCGUCCACUGGCUUGGGAAGGACAGGCUUCUGGAGAGUACCUGGGCAGUCCUAUGGCAGCCCCCAUGGACUUGGGCUUCACUGCCCAAGGACAGAUGAGUCGUCACUGGGGUCUGUUGUAUUUUUGUGUGUGUUUGUGAGAAAAAGGAAAAAAGAAUUCUCAUUGCUUUGCUAGCAAAGGAGAAACCCAGGGGACCCCUGUUCCAGAGGCUGUGAUUCUGUCCUUUGGCAGGAACAGGGAGCUUUUAAAGAGGUGACUCAAAAGCUACAUUCCCAUGUUCUUUCUUGGAGUCAUAAUUCACUUGUGAAUCUGGGAGAGAGUCAUUUCUGAGAUCUCUGAUACCAUCCCCAAAGUCUGGAUUACUUCAUUCCUAUGGUGGGUGUGUGCUCCAGAACAGAUAAAUCUACCCAAAAUGGGGAAGAAAGGUAAUCCUGUUUCCUGUGAGGUUAUGGAGGGGAAGAGAUUAGGGAAGAACAGGGAGAGAGGAGGGGAAAGAAACAUGUCUAUUUAAGAGAGAAGCUGCAGGGCGGGGCGUAUAGCUCAGUGGGUAGAGUGCUUGCCUUUCAUGCACAAGGCCCUAGUUUUAAUCCCCAGCACCAUGAAAAACCAGAAGAAGUUGCAAUGGCAGAGCAGUAAGGGCUAUAUUCCAAGCCCAGAGUGGACCACUGUUACACGUCCCCACUGUCCAUUUCUACAUUCCAGUUCUGUGGAAAAAUGGGUGAUGACAUCUCCAAGCUGCUUCCUGCUGAGAAGAGGACAAAGUUGGGGAAAGUAACCCGAAGUCCUUGUUCUCUAUUAGGCAUGGACAGUUAAAGGCAUCAGAGCAGUCCAGCGGUCCACAGUGGCAGAUGGCAGGUGACAGGACAAGGCAUAGCUAGGGCAGGGAUUGUACUAAGAAAACAGUAAACAAGACAGCAAAGCAUCAUUUUUAAAAAACAAUUAGCACAAAAGCAAUUCGUAUUUCAGCCAGUCUCUGAAAACCAUGAAGACAGUAACUCAUAAUCAUAUCAGUGAAGAACAGAUCAAGUUUAUCCAGGUUAGGAAGAUUUGUGGGUCUAUGAGAUCAAGCUCAAUUUGUGACUCUAGGGUUCUUUGUGAUCAUUGUUAUUGGGCACUCUCAUACAAGAACCCUUCCUUUAUAGUCUCCAGCUUACUUUUGAUAGGGCUGACAUAAGUGUACCUCUUAAGUUACACUUAAAAAAACAUUGUUUUUCCUUUUAAAUGUCCGUGUAGGACUGUGCUUUUAGGCUAUACUCUCCUGCCAGGUGUUUAAGACCAAGUUGGUCAAAACCAGCUUUGCUCCUAUCUACUUUUAACAGUCAGCUGAGAUUACUUAGAGAUCAAUCUUGGGAAUAUGCAUGAGGCCCCUUGGCUCCUUUACAUUUCCUCUACCAGUGGUGCCAUCAGCCAGGAUGGGUCAGAGUCUUGCUGACCAUACGUGACUUCUCUUGGAAGCAUCAGGGACAUUGCCCUCUCCGGUGACCCUCCUUUUUGAAGAAUGUGCACUGGUUGGCUUCCUGUUCUCUAGGGUCCUCUCAAUCUCCCUGAUCAGCAGUUAGGUGACUCCCCAGAGAUGCACUGCCAAGAGAGGGGUCCCGUUGUUCUCUGAAACUUAAUUCAGUUUUGUUUGAAAACACAGAACAAGGGAAAUGGGAAAGCGGAACAGAAAGUUAGAGAUGGAGAAGUGUGGGGCGUCCACUGGAACCACAAUGUGAUACAGUCCAGCCUCACAGGUGGCUUCCUUGCUGGGCCAGCUUGGGCAGGUUACCUCCCCUCUCUGGUCUGCAGUUCCCAUUCUGGCCCCAAACCAGGCAUAGCAACAGACUCUUCUCCAUGAUUGUGGGGAGCAGCAGGGAGUGGCCCAGAGCGGAGGCUCGUGUGUUUGUCCUGGGAAUCUUCCUGCAGGUUCUUUGACAAGUUGGAUCAAAGGCAGGGAUGUUGACAAAAAUAACCCAGUGAACCUCCGUGACAGUGGCUCUGCUUGCUGCUCAGAGGCGGGCUGUCCUGUCUCAGUGGGCAGGAACCCUCAAGGGAAGGUAGAAACUUAAUCCUAGAGGAGAGGUGAUGCAUUUUAGCUCAAAAGCCCCCCACCUCCCCACAGGGCCCUGUAGCUAUGCAUCCAAAGGACUUGCCACCCAAGUCCCUGCCACAGGGCCCUGUGCCCGGCCUCAACCUCACCAUCUCACUGGGCAGCGACCCACCUGGGGGGAAGUCAUCAUCACCUCCGUUUUACAGAGAAGGGAGUGGAGGCCAGCACCACGGCAGAAGGGCCUUCCAAGGUCCUCAGUCCUCAUCUGGAGGAAGCGGGCAGCACCACCUAGCAGGAAGCCAUGUGUCCCCCCUGGAGGUCCCCACCUCGGCCACACACUCCACCCAAGCUUCCUCCUCCAGUGGGACAGGAAUGUUGAAGGAAGCCCAGGUGACGCCUCUGAGCCCAUCCUGGUACUCGUCCCUGUCCUUGGUUGCUCGGUGACUGUAUCACUCAUGGGCAGGUGUGGAGACCGGGCUUCAAGGUGGACCCCGGUUCUACCUGUCCUGGCUCCCUCUGUUUGGUGGCAGGAGACCCCUUUCCUGUGCACGAGGUCCAUCUGGAAGCACUCCUGACCUUCUGGGCCGGUGCCUCCACCCUGCCCCCUCCAGCUGGCUGUUGAGUUUUGUGUUCACCGAUUUAUUCUGAAAUGCUGAGGCUGGAACCCGGGGCAUGCUGGGCAAUCGUCCUGCCACUGGGCUGCACCCAGUCCGUUUUCUCCAGGUGACGUUGAUGACCUGGAGGGAAGACACACUUUGAGGAGUCAGGUUUUAAGGUGAUUGACAGGAGUCAGCGCAAACUGGCAGUCACCUGGGGGGCUUUUAAAAACUACUGAUUCCUGGCCCCAUGCAGACAGAGGAAGCCGUAGCCUUCUAAGGUGGCGCCUGGGGAAUGGGUAUUUUGUAAAAUGCUCCUUAGGGGAGACUCUAUGUGCAACCAAAGUUGAGAACUGCUAUUCCAGACGCAGACCUGGCUCCCUCUGCCCAUCUGUGGCCAGGUGGGUAGAGGGCUGACUUAAGUGAGGGCCAAGAUUCUACAUGACUGAUCCUGCCUGCUCCCUCUGCCUCUCUUCUCCUUCCCAGGCACAUGGAGAGUCUGCAUCCCAAAGAUAUAAGUUGCCCUUUAUGGAAGCUUUUCUCCCCAAGGAGCUCCUCACCAGAGUUUCGCCUUAGGACCACUGGGCACUUGGCGUCCGCCCACAGCCGCCCUUGCUUUCCGCGUGUGGGUUUCGUCGCCCAGACCCUGCAGAACUGAGGAAGGCGCUGUUGGAAGCCGGGUAUGAAUCAUGGGUCUGUUUGAACCAUCACGGCAGGGAGGUUGCUUUUCUGGGAACUCCUGGGUGAAAUUCCCCAGGUUGAGGAAGUCCGGCUCACACUGCAGCCCUGCCGCAGCCUGGGUUCAAACAGCUGCCCGGAGAUGGGAGGAACCUGCAAGCCCCCACCAACUUGCUUUCCCCAUUUUCAUCUGUUUCCCAGAGGAGCUCCUCGCUGAGUCUCUUGGCUGUAUCUCACGAUGAAUUCAACACUUGCAGGCUUUCCCUUUGUUAGCAAUCAGACCAUCAGGUCUUCCAAGAAAGAUCUUUCUGCGCCUUUUGCUUGGUACUCCUUUUCUAGCUUUCUCUGCCAGCAGGCCCACCCCUCCGAAGGUUCCCGACUCCCUCCCCUCGCAGGCUGAGGCGGGAAUGCACCCUCUGCUCCCCUGGUCUACCCAGGGGAAGCUGGAGAAGAUCUCUGGGCUGUAGGUGGGGGUGAAACAGGAGGUCAAUCUCCCCAAACCUCCUCACCUCCCCCCGCCCCCACUCUCCAGCCUCCACCAGGCUGUAAAGAAGAGGCCAGCUCUGAGCCGGCUCCCUGCCACUCUGUCCUGUCACUGGACAGCCGUACAGACCACAGAGCAGGCCACGGAACAGGGCCCUGCCUUGGUCCCUUGUUGCAGGGGCUGAGCAGGAGGCCCUCAGCCACGGAGAUCAGUGUCCAUGUUUGAAGCUGUCGAGGGAGAACGUCCUGCUCUGAGUGUGGUCUCUACCUCGUCACUCACGGAUGACAAGCAGGGAAUGGAAAGGGAAACUCGUGAGCCGUACAGUGGCCACCACCAUGUCCAGUGGGCCACGGGUCACUUCAGGGAUGACAACAAUGCUGACCUGGUGCAUGGCAGGGCAGACACAGGGCAAGACCCCCCAGAUUCAUGACCACACUCUAAUCGUGAGAAAAUAUCAAGCCCACGUGGAAGGACAGUCACCAAACAGCCGACUGGUGUUCUUCCAAACCAGGGAGGCUAAGAAAAGUAAGGAAAAUGCCGAGCGUGACACAUGGCAGACAAGAAGGGGACAGAGACCCGUCGAGUCCUGGGCCGGAUCCUGGAACAGAAGAGGACCUGAGUGGGGAAGCCGGGGAAAUCCCCAUGAGGUCUGGAGCUCGGGGGUUGGUGACGGUCCUGUGUGGGACGUUAAUGGCAGGAAGCCAGCGGAGGGCACGCGGACCCCUCUGUGCUGUCUGUGAAUCUCACACUAUUCCAGAAUUAAAAGUUUCUUCAAAAGUCUUGAGGGAAAGCAGGCAGGUGAGGGAUGGCCGCUCUCCUCUCCGCCUCUCUUUCAAACACUGUCUGAUCUACGAGGUGGAACGUGAGGGAGGGAGGCUGGACUGCGGGCUGCAGGAAAUUUACUGCCAGAAAACAGCUCUGCUGAGCUCUCAGCGCUGUGAUUUAUGUCCCGGGACCCGGACCCCACCAUCGAUCCCCACUCUGAGCCCCCAGGGCUGGCGCAGGGUCCUCUGGGCAAAAUCGAUGCCUGGAGGUGACUCGGUGCAUUUUACUCCAUCACAGAAUCCAGAUUUAUGUUCCUGGCAAGAAGAUCCCAGGGCAGUGGAGCCCAGCCAGGACCGGAGGCCGGGGUCCAAGUCCAGACCCGCCAUUCGUAUCUGUGUGAUUUAGGGACAUUUACUUCUCCUCUCUGGACCUUCAUUUGGGGAAAUGGUCUCUAAAGUCACUCCCAGCUCCUACCAUCAGGGUUCUUUGAUUGCAGACAAUAGAAAGUAGCCAGGAGUAGAAAACCUUGAGCAUGAGACACCUUUACUAGAAGGAAUCUACCGGAAGACUGGAGGCUCAGAAGGGGCACCCUCCGAAUUCAUCAGGGCAGAGUCAUUUCUGGGGCCAACCUGGCUCUGUGUCUCAUAGCGCAGACCCAUCAGUCAGGGUCGUGGGGUGCUCUCCUCUGCACGGUCCCUUGGCCACCCGUCUUCUGUCCUGUGGGCGUCUUCUGUCCUGUGGCUUCCCCCUGCUCUUGGUCCUUGGACUCCCCUCUGCUCAGGCACUGGGCGCAGAGCCUGCAUCUGGGCGAUUCGUGAAGAGCCAUUUCUUGAAAUGCCCAUCCCAACUCCACUCACUCCCCACUGGCCAGACCCAAGUGGAGGGAGCCUGGGAAACAGUCUGAGCCUGCUCUCAGGAAGCAGUGGAGCUGGGACCCUGGACAGACCAGGCAUCCCUGAAGGCCACACAGACUGCUCAGGAAUGGGCCGCAGUCCGACCUCCUCCAUGGUGAGCUCCCGACCCAGCACAUUUCCCUCUCAUCUCUGCGGCAGGGUCGAGUCUGGGCAGGGAGUCCUGCUGGCCAGCUUGGAAGUCCACCCUUUGACUUGGGGAGGACAGUGCCCCUACCCUGAUGAUUCCCAGGUGGCACACACACUCUGGGCAGGGGCAGGUGGCAUCAGGAGACCAAAAGACCCAGAUGUACAUGAAAACAGUCAGUCUGCUUUAUGAGUGAGCAAUGAGCUUGACUGUUUCCAAAGGCCUUUGCAAGAGCUGCCUAAGUUUGCAUUUUAUAUCUAUUCAUUUUUUAUUUUCAUCUCAAAUUUUUUUGAGGGAUCUCACUAAAUUGCUUAGGGCUUUGCUCAGUUGCUGAGGCUGGCCUCGAACUUGCAAUCCUCCUGCCUCAUUCUGAACUGCUGGGAACGUUGGUAUUUUAAAGUCAGUUCAUUUGGGGGAGAGGCUUGAUUCAAAGAUGAGCCCCUGGUGGCAAUCCAGAGAGGGCAGAGAGGAGAGAAUGUUCUAAACCUGACACUGAGCGGUGGCGAGGGCGAGGAGAGGCAGAGCUGAGGGCUGGGAGGCAGGGAGAGGGACUGAGCCCACGCAGACUGUCCUCUGGGGCAUUCACCAAAGCCAGCCUAAUUUUCAAACUUUGAAAGUCGGAAGGAAGUUCCUGCGUGCCCCACACAUCUUUACCCUCCCACCAGCCUCCGAAGUGUCCAGGGCCACAGCGGAAGAGAUGGGCAGCCAGAGGCCCUGGGAGUCCUGGAGGACCCCACUCAAACAGAGAGACAGGACCACGGCAGGGAAGGGCUUGAAGAGAAGAGGGCAGACGCGGAGGACGAAGACCAGGAACCACACUAGUCUCCGGCCUUCCCAGUACCUCCCUUCUGGCCCUGCCUUCCGUCCGUCCUAUCUUGGAUGCCACCUGCAGUGGCUCAGUCACAGAGCCACUGACCCAGAACCCUGGAGUCGGCCUUGAACUCUCCUUCCUCGACCCUCACGCGGCCUCCGCCCAGUCCUGUCGACUCUGCGUCCUGGUACCUUCCUCAGCCACCGUGAACCCGUCUGUCCCCGUCACUUCCUAUCAAAGUCUCCUUCGCUUCUCCGUGUCCCCCAGUGACGGCUUCCAGGUUCUGCUCCACCUCCCCUGCCCAGCAGCCACACCUGGCCGCUUGCACUCCCUGGAUCAGACCCUCCACCACUCCCCGAGGUUCCCACGAAGACUGCUGUCCUCCCCGGGCUUCACGCUCUGAACACAGACGCGCUGUAGACACGUGCACUUAGGACGUGUGUCUAUUCAUGCUGGGCGUGUGUGUGAUGUGGCAUCUCUACGUCUAUCAGCUCCAUGUGACACUCCCUCCCCUCCCUGACCUGCUGUCAACCAGAAGCACCUCGAACUCCUCCUGCCAGGACACAGGCCCCAUCUCCACUGUCCUGGUGUCUGGCUUUCCUGGGGAGCUGUAACCUCCUCGAGGUAGAGGAGGCAGGGCGUCCUGUCCUCGUGAGUGACAGGGAGGUUGCAGGUUUGCCAACUUAAACGCAGGAGCAGCUGGCCCCCUCCCCUUCCUGGACUCACCCCCAGGGCAGAGGACCUUCCUGUCCUCAUCCUGGGGACGGCCCCAUCCUAACCCCAUUUACAGAGGAGGAAACUGGGAUCCUGGGGCUCAGUCCAUUGCUCAAGUUCACACAAGGCGGUGGAGCGUGUUUCAGUUUUAAUCUGCGUGACCCUCUGUGUUUUCUAUUCUCGGUGUCCUGGAGAGGCUGAAGAAAAAAGUGAAAAAAUCAAAACCCAGGGACCGCUCAGGUCUGAUCUGUGUUGGUGAAGCUGUCUGUGGUGGGGUGGUGUGCGGCACGCCACCCCGGGUCCGUCGGCAGUGUGUGUCCUGCCUUCAGAGCCCCUAGGGUGGACCUCAGCCCUGUCAUGUCACUGAAUGCAGAACACAGGGUGCAGGUUCUGGCUGCAGACAGGACCUGAUCCGGGACCCACAGGGCCACCACUGUGUGGGUGUGGGUGCAGCCCCUCUGCCCCCAGGCCCCCUGACCUUGCCUGGUGGGGCUGAGAGUCAGAGGUCAUGGUUCUAGCUGCCUCCGAUCCUGGAACCCUGCAGUCACCUGGGGUCUCUGCUGACUGCAAGAUGGCCACUGGGGGGAGCCCUUGGGCCAUCGAUCACAGAUGGCACCUGGUUGAGGGACCCUGCAGGGAGCAAGGAAGCAAGUUGGUGGCAGCUGAAGAAAUCAGGAUCUCAGUAUUCGUUGCUUUUUUGGUUUCCUCGUGUCCCACAGCAGUUGGGAACUUGUUAUCCUUCCAACCUGUUGUGGCUCCUAGCAGAGUCACAUGUCCUUGAGCUGGGAAGGACUCAUCAGCUCACCUUCCCUCAGGUGGAGGACCAACUGGGUCCCUUCCCCAGGGCUCCUGUCCUGGAGGUGUCACCUGGCCACAACCCAUCUGUCCAAGGAUGGGGAGGAGUUAUCUGUAGGUUUUGAUUUCCUCGGUGCAGAAAAGGACCAGCCCCCAGUGGGAGGGGGUUUGUGUGCUGGGAGCUAAAAGUGGGGGAUAUUUGCCACGCCCCUCCUCUGUGUGCAAGCUCCAACUUCAGCCCUGCACCUUGAGAUGACAGCUUCAGCCAUAGCAGUGCCACUCCCCAGCGCUGACACAGCACAUACCAAGUGCCAGGUGCCAUCCCUCUGCCUGAGGCGUGCCAGCUCCACCCUCACAAAAAUUCUGGGUAGAUCCUAUUCUCAUCCUCACUUUACAGGUGAGGAAACCGAGGCAAGCAGAGUGUGUUCUGUUACUAAAUGAAAUGCCUGGAGUUGGGUAACGUAUAAGGAGAAGAGGUUCAUAGCUGGAUUGGGGAGGCUGAAGGGCAUGGCCUCUGUCGGUUGGUUCAGCCCUUGGUGAGGACCUCCUGUUGGGGGUGCAUGCAGGAAGGGUCACACAGCCAGAGAGGAAGCCAGAGAGAGACUUGGGUCCUGCAGCCACCGCAGAGUUGCAGAGCUGUGUUAACCCCUUCCCAGGGCACGCCCCCAAUGACCUAAUAAUCUCCCCCUGGGCUCCACCUCUUAAAGGUCCCACCACUUCUUGGUAUAACCACAGUGGGGACAGCACCUCCAACACAUGAACCCUCGAGGGACACACUUAAAUCAUAUGUGAACCAUAGCAGAGUUUAAGUGAUUUGCCCAAAGUCACAUGACUAGUAAGUCACAUGGGGAUUGGAGCUCGGAGGCCUGGUUUUCCAAUGCUGCUGCUUUGAACAUUCCUUGACUUCUUCACAUUUACCAAUUUUGCAAAUCAGUCAAAUGAUGAGCAUGCACAGCAGCUUGGAAUCCCUAUGUUUACAAAGCUCUCUUUGUCUCUAAAGUGUAAGGACAGACCCUCUCCUGUCUGUAGGGUUCACCCUUACAUUACUUUCCUAUUUUGCUGAACAGGAAACAGAACAUAGCAUGAAGAUGCCGCAGAAAGCGCAGCUCACGGGCGGGGCACGAGAUAUUUCUUCAUUAGGCGUUACAUCAAGAAGUCCAGAAAGUGAAGGAAAAGUGCUUUUACCUUCAAAGGCUUGCCCUAGAGCUUCUGCCAGACUCUGGUCCAGUGCGCAGAAGACGGGAAGUUGGCGUCUUUGCAGGAAACCGACCACCAGAGGGCGGCCCGGGCCUCCAGGAGGCCUGUGGGGUUUGGACUCCAAGCCGGGUUUUUCCAGAGCAGGCUCUUUGCAACACCGCCAGGAGGUGUGGCUCCAGGGACAAGGAUUGUAUUUUUAUCUGCUGCUCAUUUUUAGCAAUCUGGCCGACGUUUCUCUGGCACACAAAGGAAGUGGCUGCCUCCUGUGAGGCAUGAGUCACUCUGCUUGAGAGAGGUGGCCUGUCGCGGUGGACCCACGCCCCAAAGAGCUGUCAACAGUCCUGUGCCCCCAGAGGGGUUUAUUUCUGUCCCUCUGCCCAUCUGCCAGGUGUGGCUGUGAGUUUGCCUCUGGCAGGGCCUAUGCCGUUCCUGCCCUUCAGCAUGACAGCAGAGCUGGGAGGUCCUGACUCCACAGGCCCCCCCACGCCCAAGCCAGGCAGCGCUUAGGGGAGGUCCGAGUCAGCAGCGCACCUGAACGUCCAGACUGAGCCCAGCAGGGGAAGAAGGGAGGUGCCCCCUUCACACAUCCCAGGUGAAGGGGGCCCAGCCCUACAAUUGGGAGGUGGGAGGCUCUGGGGGCUUUGUGGGCACACCCCAGGCAGCCUCUGUUCCGUCUUAUGCCAUGUACAGCCCCUUGGUCCCCUCGAGAAUCUGUCCCCUGGAGGAGGGGGUCUCUUUCAGCCCAUCUCCCACAAUGCCACACUCCUUCUGAGGCCCAGUCCUUGGUGGAUGUGGUCUCCCAGGCACCAUGACUCAGGUCCCACUCAGGACCAAAACACAGCCAGGUAGGGGUGGCAUCGACAGGUGUGGGCAGGGGUGUGACUUCUAUGAGCUGGUUGCUCCCUGGGCUUUGUGUCCCCUGCUGGAAGAGUCCCUUCCUCACAAAGCCUGCAUGGACUCCCUUGCUUUUUGCCCCUGACGGCCGGUCAGAUCAUAGCUGAGUGUGCCCAGCUGUGCAGGGACAAGACCCCUCACCAAAGCACAUCUCAAUCCCCUGUGUCUCCAGGGCAUGGAUCAAACUCAGGAGGGACACCCAGGAAUGGAGUUGAAUGAGGCAAUUAGGGCUGUGAGCCCUUCACCCCAUGGCCACUGCAUGAGUGCAAACACACACACACACACACACACACACACUCUGCUGUGCGUGUCUUCUCCCCAUACCUAGGCUUAUGUCACAUGACUCUUUCCCCUGCUCACUCCCAGAACUUCUGGGGCAGCUCCCAGCCCACCCUGCCUUCAGCAUUGGCCCAGCAAACCAGUCCCAAGGUGGGGGCUGGACUGUCCUUUUUUUUCUUCUUUUCUCUCUCUUUCUCUCUCUCUUUCUUCCUUCCUUUUCUUUCCCUCUCUCUCUUUCUUUCUGGUACUGGGGAUUAAAACCAGGUGCACUUUACCACGGAGCUACAUCCCCAGCCCUUUUCGCUUUGUAUUUAUUGUGAGAGAGGAUCUAGCCAAGUGACUGAGGCCGGCCUCAAACUUGCAAUCCCCCUGCUUCAGCCCCCUGAGUUGCUGGGAUUACAGGCAUGUAUCACCACCCCUGGCUCCGAGGGGACUUUCUAAUUAUGCUCCUGGGAAAACCCCUGGUGGCUCCUGCCCCCUGGAGGAGUGGGGUGUUUUGCAGCCCAUCUCCCACAAUGCCUCACUCCUCCUGCCUUGCUCACACCUGCAGACUGAAUCCCACCCUCACCUCACCUCCACCCUCACCUCACCUCCACAGCCGACCACAAAGGACUCCGCUGUCAUGCCUUGGCAGCUCCAGCUCAUCCAGCAAUGUCACCUCCUCUCUGAAGGAGAAUCCUGAAUUCCUCAGGGCCUGAUGUAGGCAGAGGGGUCUACCCACAUGGGAGGCAACUGCCAUGUCCUAGGACUCCUGAGGCUCCUGACAGGGGUGGACAGGCUGCCUUCGUCCCGCAUGAGGUUUGGAAAUGAACCAUCAAGAUGCCUGGGCACCCUCCUUCCCACUGCAGAGAGACCACAGAGCUGACCUCCUUAUCCACCCAGAAAAAGAGACAGAGACCCUGAGUCCCAGCCUCAGACACCUGCAGGGUGUUCACGUCAGACAGGAGCAGAUGUUUGCAGGCCAUGAGGAGGGGCUGGGCCUCGUGAGUGCACAAGGGGCAACUCAGUCCCGAAUGACCCUUAUCUAGCCCAUGAGCUGCCCACAGGCGCGUGCUCUGCUGACAUGGACAGCAGCACACCUCGGCUUUUAUGCAGAAGUUUCCAGUUGUUAUGUGGGGAAUUUGUCAACCUUACCCUGGAUGAUUUCUUCCAGACUCUGAAAAUUUAGAAAACAGAAAUAAAAUAAUUUCCCUGAAGAAGUCAUAAAAACCUAAUUUUGCUUUUAACUCUUGAGCUUUUGGAAAUUGUGUUUGAGAAGUGACUCUUGCUUCUCUGUUUCCAUCAGAUUGUUACCUCGACGGCCUGGGUUGUCCUUUAU